rnacentral:lncRNA from 1 species
GUCCAAAUGAAUAUCCUAAUCCUGAAGAUGUAACGAGCAAUUUGGUAAAAUAAAUUUGUCGUAAUCUUUUACGGUUGCGAAGGAGUAGUGGCCACAAGAAAAACAGUGUUUGGGGAGAUAACUCUUACAACGUAAAGUAUUUUGUUACGCAGUUGUAAAUUUUUAAAAGCGUAUAAACUAUACGAUAUCAUAUUCCAAAUAUCUAAGCGACAUCUUUUGAAACAUCAAUACUACGCAAGAAAAAAAAUUAGGCGGAAGAAAAAAAAAAAUAAUAAUAAUUAAAAACCAAUUGUUCAGAGAACAAUUGAAGGUCUUUCCACUAGUAAAGAUCUAUUUUGAUAUUGAAAUAUGAAAAAUCAGUUUAAAAUGUUAGUUCCUAUGGCUUUAUGAUGUAUUAAUAUGAAUUUAAAGCAAAGGUCAAAAUCUAGAACGUCCUAUUAACCUAUGACCUUGACCUCAAUUUCAAGGUCACAAACCAAGGACCUUAAAUCAAAAAAGACCCUAGGUCUUUAAUAUGUUUGGUUAAUGAGUAAUAUCACUUUACGCGUAAUUCUAAAUAUAAGAUGGGCAAAAACUCCCAUUUAUUGUCUGCGCACCCUUUCAACCAAAAUAUACAAGUAAGGACAUGUCGCAACUAACAAUUUAUGAAAAAUUAUUUGUCGAAUAUGUCAUACGGUAUUUGAAAAUAAGUGAAAAUAAGCCAAAAUCAAAAUUUAGAAUAUGACCUUGACCUUUGACCUUGACCUUAUUUUCAUUUUUUUGGACCAAGGACUUCAAAUCUAAAGACCCUAGGUCUCUAUCACUUAUGGUUUACCAGUUAGAAAUGCAUAUCACUUAUAUCAAAUACAUAAGGGGGAAUAACUCUCAUAUGGAGUCUCCGGAUAGCUUCGGUCAAAUGAAAAUCCUAAUCCUGAAGAUGUAACGAGCAAUUUGGUAAAAUAAAUUUGUCGUAAUCUUUUACGGUUGCGAAGGAGUAGUGGCCACAAGAAAAACAGUGUUUGGGGAGAUAACUCUUACAACGUAAAGUAUUUUGUUACGCAGUUGUAAAUUUUUAAAGCGUAUAAACUAUACGAUAUCAUAUUCCAAAUAUCU